rnacentral:rRNA from 1 species
GAUGAACGCUGGCGGCGUGCCUAAUACAUGCAAGUCGAGCGAACGGACGAGAAGCUUGCUUCUCUGAUGUUAGCGGCGGACGGGUGAGUAACACGUGGAUAACCUACCUAUAAGACUGGGAUAACUUCGGGAAACCGGAGCUAAUACCGGAUAAUAUUUUGAACCGCAUGGUUCAAAAGUGAAAGACGGUCUUGCUGUCACUUAUAGAUGGAUCCGCGCUGCAUUAGCUAGUUGGUAAGGUAACGGCUUACCAAGGCAACGAUGCAUAGCCGACCUGAGAGGGUGAUAGGCCACACUGGAACUGGGACACGGUCCAGACUCCUACGGGAGGCAGCAGUAGGGAAUCUUCCGCAAUGGGCGAAAGCCUGACGGAGCAACGCCGCGUGAGUGAUGAAGGUCUUCGGAUCGUAAAACUCUGUUAUUAGGGAAGAACAUAUGUGUAAGUAACUGUGCACAUCUUGACGGUACCUAAUCAGAAAGCCGCGGCUAACUACGUG